rnacentral:siRNA from 1 species
ACGCUAUCUAAUGAGACAAUAGCG